rnacentral:tRNA from 1 species
UAUAUAUUAUUGUAUCAGCAUGAGAAAUUUUGAGUUUCUAGGACAUAAUUAAUUAUUAUGAUAUAUAU